CAGGACCGAGUUCAGGGCGAAUAUGUGGAACAGGGGAAGCACGCACAGCACCACGUCGUCGUCCUUGAGGUACAGGUUCGGGUUUUCUCCAUCCACCUGCUGAGCUAUGCUCGAAACCAAACUCUUGUGCGUGAGCAUCACCCCCUUGGGCAGCCCCGUCGUCCCUGACGAGAACGGCAGCGCGACGGGAUCCUCGGGAUCGAUGGUGACGUCGGGAAUUGCCGUCUCGUCGGAAUCAAGUACUUGGGAGAAGCUUAUGCAGUCCGCGGGAGGGGCGUCGGUGGUGACCACAAUCAAGCCGUCGCCGAUCUCGGGGAACCCCUCGUUGACGGCGCGGAGCUUGUCGACGUACAUGGACUGGGUGAUGACAACCUUCGCGCCCGAG
rnacentral:lncRNA from 1 species